CCACUGCUGCCGCUGCUGCUGCUGCCUGCACCUGUUGCUGAAGAUCAGGCGGGUUGUGUUUGCGCAUAUGUUUCAUAAGGGCCCUCUGCUAAGAUGAGCCAAGGACUUGAGGGUGCAGUGACACCUGCUCCUCAUCAGCGACUUCAGAACCAUCUCUAUGACCAGGUGCUUUUCGGGACCUCUGGUAUAAAAUCUCAAAAACAUCACAGGACGUGUCUCUUAUUUGUGAGGAAAGCCUGACUCCUCCUCUUCUCAAAGCAAGAUGUCUGAUCACUUUAAGGUGAGAUCAUCACAUCCACAAGAAGCCGGGUGAGACGGUCUAUGGCCUGUAAGUCUGGACUCCAGUUCAACUUGAGAUAGCACCAAAGAUCAUCACUUCUAGUUGGCAGGUUCCCUUCUUCCUAGUCACUCCAGAUUCACGGGAUAAACACUGGGCAUCUUUAUGAAGCAUAAGCGUUUUCAUUUUCUGUUUGCUGAUUCUCUCUGAACAUUUAGUACGUGUUUUCUUUUGUUCUCUACUCCUGGCAUCCCUCAGAGCCUUGCUUGUUGCUGUGGGUGUCACCAGGCUGGUGCCCAGCUAAUGUCUGAUUUUAUUUCCUGUUCAUAAUUGGUGCCCUAAGGGCUAGAGGUAUGGUCUUCUCCACUCAAAUGCCUCUGUUUUGGCAUCAAGGGGCAAAUCUUCCAAGAUGGGUACAUGAGUAUUUUCAGGGAGGAAAAUUAGAG
rnacentral:lncRNA from 1 species